UACAGAGGUCUCAAGCGUUGUUCGGAUUCAUUGGGCGUAAAGGGUGCGUAGGCGGCGCGGUAAGUCGGGUGUGAAAUCUCGGAGCUUAACUCCGAAACUGCAUUCGAUACUGCCGUGCUUGAGGACUGGAGAGGAGACUGGAAUUUACGGUGAGCGGUGAAAUGCGUAGAUAUCGUAAGGAAGACCAGUGGCGAAGGCGGGUCUCUGG
rnacentral:rRNA from 1 species